CAUGCCGAGCCCGUUCCGCUGUGCCCAGGGAGAAGGGGGAAUAAAAAAAAAAAAAAGGAGAGGGAGAUCGUGAGUUCUCCUCGGCUUCACGUUCUCAGAGAGCAGGCCAGGUAGGGGCCCAGGAAUGCGCUCCCAUCCGUGGCUGUCCGGAAAACCGCUGUAAAGUUCGAGAAUGUGCCUGCUCGCUCGAGCAGUCCUGCCACGGUUGCUUAAAAAUUAGCAGGGAGGAAAAAAAAAAAAAAUUAGCAUGUAAGAUAGUCUUGUUCUUCAUCUGCUGUUGAGGCUGCACCUCCACCAAUGGCCUCUCCUGGUCUCCCACAGUGCCGAGCCUUAGCUGCUCUCCAUGAUGCUUCUACGACCUGGGUGAUGCUUACUCUUACCAAGUGCUGCUGCCAACAUGAGCUACAAUGGAGGCCUCUGGAAACAGCUUCUCUGUGCUCUCAGGAAACACUUCCUAGAAGAUUUCAGCUCAGUGAUGCUAGUCUCUUCUUAAUCUCUGGUACGGCCUUGUUGAAGGAAGCAUGUCACUGUCGGAGUGGGCUUUGAGGUCUCAUACAUGCUCAAGCCACUCCCAGUGCCCCAGACCACUUCCUGUUGCCUACAAGAUAUAGGACUCUCAGCUACAGCUACAGCACCAUGUCUGCCUACACUCUACCGUGUCCCACCAUGGAGACAAUGGACUGAACCUCUAAACUGUAAAAGGACCACCCCAAUUAAAUGUUUUCCUUUAUAAGA